UGGGGAAUAUUGCACAAUGGGCGAAAGCCUGAUGCAGCAACGCCGCGUGAGUGAUGAAGGCCUUCGGGUUGUAAAGCUCUGUCUUCUGGGACGAUAAUGACGGUACCAGAGGAGGAAGCCACGGCUAACUACGUGCCAGCAGCCGCGGUAAUACGUAGGUGGCAAGCGUUGUCCGGAUUUACUGGGCGUAAAGGAUGCGUAGGCGGAUACUUAAGUCAGAGGUGAAAUCUUACAGCUUAACUGUGAAACUGCCUUUGAUACUGCAAGCCUAGAGUAUGGAAGAGAGUGAUGGAAUAUCUGGUGUAGCAGCGAAAUGCGUAGAUAUCAGAUAGAACACCAAUGGCGAAGGCAGUCACUUGGUCCAUUACUGACGCUAAAGCACGAAAGCGUGGGUAGCAAACA
rnacentral:rRNA from 1 species